rfam:Camelus ferus unplaced genomic scaffold scaffold533, whole genome shotgun sequence.
GAGGGUAUAGCUCAAGUGGUAGAGCACAUGGGUAGCACGCACGAGGGCCGGGGUUCAAUCCCCAGUACCUCCU